AGAGUUUGAUCCUGGCUCAGAUUGAACGCUGGCGGCAGGCCUAACACAUGCAAGUCGAACGGUAACAGGAAGCAGCUUGCUGCUUUGCUGACGAGUGGCGGACGGGUGAGUAAUGUCUGGGAAACUGCCCGAUGGAGGGGGAUAACUACUGGAAACGGUAGCUAAUACCGCAUAACGUCGCAAGACCAAAGAGGGGGACCUUCGGGCCUCUUACCAUCGGAUGUGCCCAGAUGGGAUUAGCUAGUUGGUGAGGUAACGGCUCACCAAGGCGACGAUCCCUAGCUGGUCUGAGAGGAUGACCAGCCACACUGGAACUGAGACACGGUCCAGACUCCUACGGGAGGCAGCAGUGGGGAAUAUUGCACAAUGGGCGCAAGCCUGAUGCAGCCAUGCCGCGUGUAUGAAGAAGGCCUUCGGGUUGUAAAGUACUUUCAGCGGGGAGGAAGGGGAUGUGGUUAAUAACCGCGUUCAUUGACGUUACCCGCAGAAGAAGCACCGGCUAACUCCGUGCCAGCAGCCGCGGUAAUA
rnacentral:rRNA from 1 species